rnacentral:tRNA from 1 species
UAUAGCUCAGCAGUAGAGUGCAUGCCUAGCAUGCACAAGGUCCUGGGUUCAAUCCCCAGUA